AUACUUUAAAAUAAGCAUUAUUUUGGAACUUUGAUUGGGUCGUCAUGCUCUUGUGUGACAUGAGUCUCUCUCUUGUUACUACCUCAGCAUAUUACUCGUCUGACA